UCGAUAAAAGCGAUGGCUGCUGGGAAAUUUUCGAUUCAAUCUGUAGAAAUUGCAAUGAAAAUGCGAAGUGCGUAGUGAAAGUAUUUGUGAAUUCGUAUGGCAGGUGGAGCGUUGUUGAAGAUGUAUCCCCAAUUCAAGCGCUAAUCGGAAUGGCGACAAAGUUUACGCCACUAUGAAGGACUCACCACUACGUUUGGCAACACAAUCUUGCUCUGCCAGUCCCAAAGUUUGUGUGCGUGACUGUCUAUGCAUUUGUGGAUCCAAUUUCCUCUAGGAUCAGAAGUCAGGCAUGAAUCAUAUUCCUCAAAUCAUUAUUAAAGAAAUACAGGCUUAGUUUGCGAUUUAAAAUUCUAAAUUAAUAAGGAAUUAAGUAUUUGAUUUGGAAUUUGUUCAUCCAAACAUGACACAAUUCAUAAUAUAUACUCCUUACUACAAAAAGAGUACUCCCUCCCGUCCUUCCCUCCAUCCCGCGGAACAUGAAGCUCCUGUCAGAGACAAAAUAGUUUAGGUAAUGUAGGUUAUUAACUUAUUAAUAAUAAGUUAAGAUAAUAUUUUAUUAUUUUUUAUAUAUGUAAUGUUGUUGGUAUUUUAAAUAUUUUUAAAAUUAUAUCUCUAAUGCAAUAUGGAUAUCAUUUUUUGUAGACACUAAAAUUUUAUAUAAUACAAAUGAAUAAAAAAAAUAUAUUUAUUUAUUUAUCAUUAUCAUAAAUUAGUUUUAUAAUAAACUAGGAGUUUUAAAGAUAGAUAAAAAUAUUUGUUAAUUGAGAAGAAAGAUAAAAAUAAGGGGGUUUUAAGUGAGUGAUACCGAAGUUUAAUUAAAUUGAUUUAUAUUUGUUAAGUAUGUUAUCUGUGGCAGGACGGACGGAGGAAGUAUAAUAUAUUCUACUAUAUAAAUAAAUAAAAUUUAAUUUAAAGUAUUGUUUUUUAUAUUAUUAGUAUAUAGUACCUUACAAGAAAAAUGUAAAAAUUGUAUUUAAUUUAAAUUUUUUUAAAAAAAAAUUAAAAUUAAAAGUGUUAAAAUUUUGCUGUCGUGUAAACUUACAAAGCCUAAUAGAAGUGGACUGCGCAGGAUUGGGCUAAAAUGUAAAAUGUUAGCCCGGUCCGCGAGCUGUGUUGUAGUGGACCGAUAAGGUUUGAUUUGGGCCGCGUUGGCUAGUCUCUACGCAGUAUGCGUAUUAUUUCUUUAAAGCAGGCUUGAAUGGACCCUAAACCCUAGUAAGUGGACCGAGUGACACCCUGACUUUACCACUAACUCCCAUUUAAUACUACUAUUGUGGUGGCAUCAUUUUUGUAAUUGUUUACUCUCAAUACUACUAAUAUUUAAACAAUGUGUACUCUAAUAUAACAUUCCUGCUUUAUAUAUAUAUAUUAAUGUAGGAAAUAGGAACUGUAAGUCGUUAUUAUUUAAUUUACUCACAAUUUUACCAUUAUUUACCAAAAAUAUUAUCUAAUAUUAUACACCAAAAAACCACUAACCUUUAUAAAGUAUUUUUAAGCUUUUUGUCUUGCACUAAUUUACAUACCAAUAUUAUACUCUUUAUGUCCUACCAAUACGCGUAUAUAAGUAUUAUUUUUGCUUAACACGCACUCCGCUCCAAACGGAGGAAGU